GUUAUCCAUUUGAGGGAUGCCUCUACAUCUCCAUAAUGUGGUGACCUUAGGGAGGGGGGUCUGCCCCUUUAUAUAUAGCCUGGUGGGAUCGACGUGCGCUGUAGGAUAAAACCAACUUAACCAAAGGCCAAGAUGACUCCUCGUAGGCGAUGGAGGAAGCUUCUAGAAGGGGGCCGAAACCCUAUCAGGGGGCACCGGCCAGCACUAGGGUGGGGCUGGCCGGCCCCACCUAGCGGCCUCUACCCCCCGGGCUCUUCGGGUGUCUUCCAGAGUCUUCCCACGUCCCAUUUGCGAUGUUCCAGUGGCAGAUAAGUUUCGUGUUUAUUUUGCACUAGAAUCCCUCUUUUCAGCUUUCCUGAAAUUCACCCUAGAAAAUACAGAAUAUGCAAAACUCGUGGAAAUUGUUAGAUAAAACCCUAGACUAGUGUCUUUUCAUGUUUUCCUUCGGGAAGUUAUAAUAAAAGUUGACGUUAUUGACUGUCAACAAGUUCCCCCCAUUUGCUAGUCCCUUAGCAAAGUCUAACUAGUAAACUUGGGUCAGGAGUUGCUACAAUGCUUUCAUGCCUCACAAGUACACAAGUAUUCAAACAAGGACUCCCCUCCAGAUUAGAGUGAAUUAUUCUGACUCAAGACUCACCCAUUUUACCUUUCACCACGGGGCUUAUAGCUAUCACUUUGGUCUUGGGCAGUUGAAAGACAGAACAGUUAAGUCGAGCACUAUGCUACCCCGCUCUUUGAUCAACUAUUACUCUAGAGUUUUGCAAGAUUUUCAUAGGUGGGAAAGAUAAUUCAAACAUACUUGCAUGUAUUGCAUAGUUAAACCAUGGAUCUUGAUAAACUAAUUAUAUAAUCAAGUCAUAUGUGCAUGUGAGUGUAGUGAAUGAAGCAAAUGAUAAGAAUGAAAGUGGUAAUGAGGGGUGAUAAUAGAUGGUGAAUAUCUAAUUCUACAUUUACUCCUUGGGGAUAACAUACCUCCCUAAUCUGAGAACAAGGAUUUCGCUGUCUUUCUUUUCUUUUGCAUUGGGACUUUUGUCCUCUUUCUUUCUUUCUUUUCUUUUUUUUUCUCUCUUCUUUUUUUUAGAGAUCAGCCAUCCCUUUUAAUUCAAUGACAACAGUAGGGAGUAUCAACUGGGAUAACUGAGGCUUUAUUGGAUAAGUAGAAUAAGACAUUGAAUAUUUUUGGGUGUCUUCUCCCAGUGUAGGAGUAGAACAUUUUCUAAGUGGACGUGGAAUAUGUGUGGGUGAAUAAAGGAAUGCAUACUCCUAGGGUAGGAGCAGCAUAUGUGCGUGUCUCUAGGAUAGAAACAACACAAAGUGUAGUGCGUAUAUGUGGGUGGUACUUCCAGGAACAGAAGUAGCACAUAGUGAAUAUGGUCGAUAAAAGUGGUUGCAUACUUCUGAGGACAAAAGUAGCUAAGAUCAAUAGAUGGAGAGCACAUAAUAUUGACUUUAACUGCAUGACUAGAUUCAUAGGGUCUACACAGCUUAACUACUCUCAAUGCUUAUAGGUUGAAAUAUAAGUGGAGGUUUUUCUAAUCUAGUAAGCAUGAGUAAUUGGCUGUGGUAGGAAUUUUAAAACUCUCAUCAUAAAGGAACUCAUCAUGUAGCAAUUUAAGAUUUUCAAAAUAAAAUUAUCUAGAAUUCUAGCAUCUCUAGGAGCAAGAUUGAUAGCAGCUCAAAACCUUCCCAUAUCAUAUUCAUCAACUACCUAGACUUAGAUCAAGCAUUUGCUACCCACAAGUUUUAGGCUCAGAGCAAAUCUUAAGUCUAAACAGUUGUGCCUAAAACUCAAGAGAGUAUAUGGUUAAAAACUAGGUACUUGCAAGGAAUUACGGUAGAGCAACUAUUCAUCAUCUCCAUAUAAAAGUUAAUUCUAGAGGUUCAUCUUAACAGAUUCAUUAGAAGCUCUCCUAGCAAGAUUAAUUAUGAAAGAUAAAAUAUUUGUUGGGUUUUUAAGAUUAUUCAUCUUUUUAUCUUGUCAUAACGCACUAGGAAUAAAUAGAUAAGUGAGUAAGGGAUACUUAGCUCGGUGUACGGGGGUUGCUCUCCUCCAAGCUGGAUAUUGACAUAGUCUGUUGAGAUUGCUGAUGGUUAGUGAAGACGUACUCAUCCUCUUGGAGUAUCAUAGGUACAUGCUGUCACAAAUAGCACUUGCCUCGUGCGAACAGUACUCUGACAGUGCACAGGACGUCCUUCUGCCUCUUAGUUCUUCUUGAUCCUUUGAAGCCUAUGAAGCUCAAAUAGACAACAAAGCUUGUGGAACUGAUUAAGCGCUAGUAAUAAACCUCUAAGCUUUGAGAGUCUAGAACUUUCUUAUACCCAUUUAUCUUUUAGCAGGAUCAAUAUAUAUUUUUUCCAUAUUUAUAGUAUGCAGACAGGAAAAUAAAUAUGCUAAAACUUAUUUUUGUGCCACCACAGUAG
rnacentral:lncRNA from 1 species